GGAGAACUACGAGGAGCCAAUCCUAGUAUGAGAGGAUUGGGUUGGGCCAACUUAUGGUGUACCAAUUGUUAUGCCAAUAGCAGUGCUGGUUAGCUAAGUUGGUAUGGAAGAAUCGCUAUUCUGUGGGAAAUCCUUCUUUAUACAAGUUUUCGUACAAGGUUUUUGAACAUCACUUCGAUAGGCCAGAGGUGUAAGCACUGUGAGGUGUUUAGUGAUCUCGUAUAAAACGAAAGG
rnacentral:ncRNA from 1 species